rnacentral:lncRNA from 1 species
GUGGUGAUUAUAAUAUAUAGCAGUGAAAAUAAAGUAUAUAAGUUGCUAUACAAGAAAUAAAAAUAAGUAAAGUAAGAAAUUAGGGUAAGAGAGUAAGCACAAUACAAACACACAAGAUUUAUAGUAGUUCGGAGCAAUCCGCUCCUACGUCCACUCUCCAAGCUUUUCUUGAGAAUUCUACUAUAAUCUCUUGACUACAGUGUAUUUAUUUUUUCGGACUUACAAACAAACUCAGUUAGUUUUUUUGAACUCACCAACCACAACCC